rnacentral:rRNA from 1 species
CCUACGGGAGGCAGCAGUGAGGAAUAUUGGUCAAUGGGCUUACGCCUGAACCAGCCAAGUCGCGUGAGGGAAGACUGCCCUAUGUGUUGUAAAUCUCUUUUGUCAGGGAGCAAUUGGCGCUACGUGUAGCGUUAUCGAGAGUACCUGAAGAAAAAGCAUCGGCUAACUCCGUGCCAGCAGCCGCGGUAAUACGGAGGAUGCGAGCGUUAUUCGGAUUGAUUGGGUGUAAAGGGUGCGUAGGCGGGCUUCUAAGUCAGCGGUAAAAAAUCGGGGCUCAAUCCCGUCCGGCCGGUGAAACUGGGCACCUAGAGUGGGCGAGAGGAAGGCGGAAUGCGUGGUGUAGCGGUGAAAUGCGUAGAUAUCAGGCGGAACCCCGGUGGCGAAGGCGACCAUCCGGCGCCCUACUGACGCUGAGGCACGAAAGUGCGGGGAUCGAACAGGAUUAGAUACCCUAGUAGUC